rnacentral:rRNA from 1 species
CGUAACAAGGUCUCCGUAGGUGAACCUGCGGAGGGAUCAUUACACAACAAAAUAUGAAGGCCCUGGCUUCGCGGCCGGCUGAAAUAUUUUUUCACCCAUGUCUUUUGCGCACUUGUUGUUUCCUGGGCGGGUUUGCCCGCCACCAGGACCAAACCAUAAACCUUUUUUUUUAUGCAGUUACCAUCAGCGUCAGUAAAAACAAUGUAAUUAAUUACAACUUUCAACAACGGAUCUCUUGGUUCUGGCAUCGAUGAAGAACGCAGCGAAAUGCGAUACGUAGUGUGAAUUGCAGAAUUCAGUGAAUCAUCGAAUCCUUUGAACGCACAUUGCGCCCUUUGGUAUUCCAANGGGCAUGCCUGUUCGAGCGUCAUUUGUACCUUCAAGCUUUGCUUGGUGUUGGGCGUUUUUGUCUCCCUCUUUCUGGGAGACUCGCCUUAAANCGAUUGGCAGCCGGCCUACUGGUUUCGGAGCGCAGCACAUAAUUUGCGCUUUGUAUCAGGAGAAAAGGACGGUAAUCCAUCAAGACUCUAGAUUUUUAACUUUUGACCUCGGAUCAGGUAGGGAUACCCGCUGAACUUAAGCA